ACCUCUGAAUUGCCGCCCACAUCUGUUCAGCAAUUCAAAUAGGCCCAGUGUUGUGCCCACUGACAGCUGUUUAAGCCAUUCGAAAACGCAGUCAACCAAGAGCGGUCUGGCGUCUCUUGAAGGCUCAUCUUAUCUGGACCUACAGACACCCAGUAUGCCAAGUUCCACCGGAAGCUGGUGCAGGGUCGGGUUCAGGUCAGCACUGCAAAACUAAUAAGAAUUCAGUCUGACUUGAGGACAUUUCAUGGAAGUGGAUAAUUGCCAUAUUGGGGAAUUGAACCUGGUCCAGUUGAAGGAUCUUUUUGGUCAUAAGAUCACAUUGACAUCCCGAGUUUCAAACUGAGACGAUAAAAUGUAAAUUUGCUUAUUGCUGAAGUACUUUCAAACUUUAGACUUUUA